rnacentral:rRNA from 1 species
GUCCACGCAGUAAACGAUGAUUACUAGGAGUUUGCGAUAGACAGUAAGCUCUACAGCGAAAGCGUUAAGUAAUCCACCUGGGGAGUACGCCGGCAACGGUGAAACUCAAAGGAAUUGACGGGGGCCCGCACAAGCGGAGGAACAUGUGGUUUAAUUCGAUGAUACGCGAGGAACCUUACCCGGGUUUGAACAUAGUUUGACAGGGGUGGAAACACCUUUUCUAGCAAUAGCAAAAUUACGAGGUGCUGCAUGGUUGUCGU